AAAUGCUUUCUCUGAAGAAAUACUUCACCGAAGGCCUCAUCCAGUUCACCAUUCUGCUCAGCCUGAUCGGCGUUCGUGUGGACGUGGACACCUACCUGAACUCACAGCUCCCCCCUCUCCGCGAGAUCAUUCUUGGCCAGAGCUCUGCUUACACCCAGACCCAGUUUCACAACCUGCGUAACACCUUGGAUGGAUAUGGCAUCCACCCAAAAAGCGUAGACCUGGACUAUUACUUCACCGCUCGCAGGUUGCUCAACCAGGUGAGGGCCCUGGACAGGUUUCAGGUGCCCACCACCGAAGUCAACGCUUGGUUGGUGCACAGAGACCCUGAUGGCUCCGUGUCCGGUGGCCAGCCCAGCGCCGGCAUCGCCCUAGAGAACGGCAGCGGUUUGCAGGAUGGGAGCAGCCCAGACAACGGGGUGAGAGAGAGCGGCGCUGAGCAGGGUUUUGGGGAAGAACUGGAAGAUUUGGGAGCGGUGGCUGCGCCAGUGAACGGAGACCUGACCAAAGAG